UCAGUAAUCGGAAAAAAAAAUGAAAAAAAAU
rnacentral:sRNA from 1 species